GGUGCGAGUCUAAUUCUCUUUUAAGCUAAUUCAAUCUUGUGUAGAUCUGGGUGGCCUUGGACUCACAGAGAUCCCUCUAUCUCUUAAUCCCAAAUCCUAGGAUUAAAGGUGUGUAUUGCCACCUCUGAGCUUCUGGCUGCUGGGAUUAAAGUCCUUUCCCAGAGGGAUGUGUGAAGAAUGGGUCCCCACAUUUGUCAUCCUAACCCGGUCCCAGGCUUCAGAGUCCAAGUCAAGGUGCUGGCUGAUUCGGUGCUCGGUGAAGAUCACUUUGUGGUUCGCAGAUAGCAUCUUCCCACUGUGUCCCCAGAUGGCAGAAGGGCCAAGGAUGCUCUCCAGGGUUUCUUUUAUAAAGGACACUAAUCGAAAUCGUGAAGGCUCUACCUUCAUGACUUUGUCAUCUUCCAUGAGCCCCAAAUUCAA